rnacentral:rRNA from 1 species
GGGCCUACGGGAGGCAGCAGUGGGGAAUAUUGCACAAUGGGGGAAACCCUGAUGCAGCAACGCCGCGUGAGUGAAGAAGGUUUUCGGAUUGUAAAGCUCUGUUAGCAGGGAAGAGGAAGGACGGUACCUGCAGAGGAAGCCACGGCUAACUACGUGCCAGCAGCCGCGGUAAUACGUAGGGGGCAAGCGUUAUCCGGAUUUACUGGGUGUAAAGGGAGCGUAGACGGCAUGGCAAGUCUGAAGUGAAAGCCCGGGGCUCAACCGCGGGACUGCUUUGGAAACUGUUAAGCUGGAGUGCAGGAGAG